GCCAAGGUUGUGUAGUGGUUUGUACAUUGGACUACAACUCUGGAGACCAGGUUCAAUUCCUACUUGGCC